rnacentral:lncRNA from 1 species
UUAUAAUGAGUAAGUGAUCUGUGGAUGAAGCCAGGGCAGACCCUGGGAAUAUCCGGCGACCCAUCAACAACCAUGCCCCAUGCAUUGAGCUUCCCUGGCUGAUCCUCAGGCCUGUGGCUGUGGGGUGGUUUGCUAGACCCUGCCGAUGAGUGUGGUGGGAUGGAGAGCUGCGAUGAAUAUUCCUCAGGUGGCCAGGGCUGGGCCCACGGAGGGCCAGACCAGGCUUGAGCUCUGCUCAGCCCAGGAUGAAGGGAAUUUGCUGCAGGACUCUGGAGACCCACCAGGCUUGGGACCCCUCAGCUCAGCCACCCCUCACCCACCGUGGAGCUCUCUGCCUCAGCUUCUGUAUUCCAGGCCUCUGGGUGCAGCAAAGCCUACAGGACUGGCUCAAGACUUGUGCAGAUUGCUUCAUUUGCUGAGGCUGGGGGGCUGGGCUCCAGGAAAAUCCCAUCUGAGGCAAAUCCUGGACAGUCCCAAGAUUAGGGGAGGGAGGUUUGCCCAGUGACCAAGCCAGACUCCAGCGAGGUGUGGCCUCAUUCAAGCAGGCUGUGGCAGGAAAGGGUCCCAGUGGUAUCUCUUUUUUGUUUGUUUGUGAGACACGGGCUCAUUCUGUCGCCCAGGCUGGAGUGCAGUGGCCAAUCACAGUCUCCAACUCCUGGGCUCAAGCAGUCCUCCUGCUUAAGACUCCCCAGGCUCUGAGAUUAUAGAUGUACGCUGCUGCACCUGCCCCGGUGAGAUCUCUGAGAGUCGUCUUGACAGUGUGGCCAGGAAUGGGGCUGAAGGAGGCAAGAAGACACAGGGCUGGAGAUUUCUGGAGACUCUUGAGAUGGCCUCAUCCUCCUGGCUGUGAGCAUCAGGGUCCCAGUAGGAAGGGAGAUGAACAGGGAGAGGCUGUUUUCACAGGAUGCAGCAGCUUCCUUGGAGUUGGGCAUUUUAGGAGACCCCUGGUUCCAUGGAAGCUUCUGCUUUGCAGGUGAAUGGAGGAAGUGGAGGCACAGGUGGCUUCCCAGAGAGGCUCACAACUUGUAAUGCUGAGGGGGAAGGGCACAGAGGCGAGGAGCUCCCGUUCCUGUCCCCAGGGGCUGACUCUGAUGAGGGAAGGUUCUGUGCACACACAUUAUGGAGCUCACAGUUUGUUUUGUGGAGACAGGUUCUCUGCAAGGUGAACAAGCCUCUGGCGUCCUAAGAAAGCCAAAAUUACAUGCCUGCAGGACCACACCUCUGUCCAUGCACCAAGUAGAGCUCUGUGCCUCCAUUGCCAGGGGGGUAGAGCUGGCGUCACGCCUCCCAUCAGGAGAGGCUCCAGAACAGGGGUUAGCAUACCCACCUGCAGGCCAGCAGUGACCUGUUUUGUUUGUAUUCAUUAGAGACAGGGUCUUGCUGUGUCGCUUAUGCUGGAGUACAGUGGCACGAACAUGGCUCACUGCAGCCUCCAACUCCUGGGAUUAAGGGGUCCUCCCACAUUAGCCUCCCAUGUAGCUGGGACCACAGGUGUGUGCCACCACGCCUGGCUAAUUUUUUUUUUUUUUUUUUUUUGCUAAUUUUUUUUUUUUUUUUUUUUUUUUUUUGAGACGGAGCCUCCCUCUGUCACCCAGGCUGGAGUGCAAUGGCACAAUUUCAGCUCACUGGAACCUCUGCCUCCCAGGUUCAAGCGAUUCUCUCGCCGUGGUGUACUGAAUAGCUGGGAUUACAGGCCCCUGCCACCAUGCCCGGCUAACUUUU